UCUCUUUCUCUGUGAAUUUCUUGAGAGCACAGACUACAUUCUGCUUAACUUUUUAUCCCCAGCUUUCAGCACAGUGCCUGGCUGCUUUGGCGUCUCCAAGUACCUGACCUCAGCUCAACCUGUCUUGGGUUUUCUUCUCCUCCCUGACAUUGACAACCCAGCCCUCCUAGGCACAGAGAGAUGGAGCUGAGUGUGGUUUUCCUGAAAUAAAGCUUGCAUUAUGAGAGGGAAUAAACAGGUCUUUACACGAGAUGUAGAGAAGUCUCCAGGACUAUAGGAAAGACACACAAGCCCAACCUUCAUCUGGAGAAAAGGAACUGGGUUUGGCCAGGCUAAACCCCACGUGGCUUGAAGUCUUGGUGUCCCGUUCGUGAUGUUAUUCCAUACUGAAUAAGCCAGAUGCUGAGAAGUCUGAUACAUGCUGAACUACUGUGUUUUGAUGUGAAUGUCUUGUUGAAAUCCUAUGGUCAGACGGCACUAUUGGCAGGAAUUGGGAAUUUUUCCCAGAGAGAGUGGAUAUUCCCACCAUCAAAGAUCUUGAGAAGAUCAAUAAUCCCAGGAUGGGGAAUGAGGCCUGGGGAAGUGGCCUUUGGCCUGGGAGAGGGCAUGGAGAAACUGCCCUUUCUCCGGGCCUCAUGGGCCAGAAGGGACCCUGUUGAAUGGUCCGUGCCUUACAAAUUCUGAAAGCAGUCUUAUCUAGAAUUCAGUUUUAAAGAAUUUCUGUAUUGCAAUUAUUUCCUAUUAUCCCCAAGAGUAGUGGACAUUUGUUUUUGCCCUCCUAAUGUUCAACUCACCCUUUUUUGGUAAUAGCACCUUCAAUUUUCCUGGGGAAGAUUGGAUUCCCCACUCGUCCCAUGGGUUUCAGACAGGGCUGGCCCCAUCCCAUGGCUUUGUGGGUACACUAGUGACAACAGAGCUGGCCGAUGUGAGUACUGUGCACCGCUGGCCAUGGUGACUGGUUCAUGGCUGAGCAUGUGACCCCAGCUGGGCCAAUCAGAGCCAGGCUUGGGUCUUGCUAGGACUGUCGGGGAGAGUCAUCCUCUUACCUUUGGAAGGAACAAGCCUAGAGCUUCCGGGGACCACCACUUGGAGAAUAAAGUACACAGAGCGCAACAGAGCCAAGAAAGAGAACUUGAAUCCUGAAGACGUGCAGCCAUGUCUUCAGAGUGAAGACCUGAAGCCAUAUCUUCAGACUGAAGACCUGAGCCUCUGAAUCCAGCCAUGCCCAAAUUAAGAAUAUGCCUGUACUUUUUCAGCUUUGUGAACUGAAGAACUCUCUCUUUUUGGCUGGAGUCAGUUUCGAUUGGAGUUUCUGUCAUUUUCUUCUAAAGCUAUCUUAUUAAAUGUAUAAGCUAUGUCUCAUCUAUCACCAUGGGAAGUUCAUGAGGGGUCCUUGCCCAUGCUUGACUAAAGCGCACUGUGUGAGAACAGCAACAGCUUCAGAAGCUGAUGCAGACCCUACAGGAAGUCAUCUGCAGCGGGGAGGUGGACAGCGGCAGUCUGAGGACUGAUACCACCAAAGGCCGCAAGCUUUCCACCGGACGGAUGUGUGGAGCAUGUCAUUUUAUUUGUAGAUCCUCAGAAAUACCUGGGAAAGGCAUCUAGUUAAGAGGCUCUGGAUGUCAUAAUAAUUUGGGCAUUAAAAGCUAAUGUUUAUACCCA
ensembl:lncRNA novel transcript, antisense to C7orf33 and CNTNAP2